rnacentral:rRNA from 1 species
AUACGGAGGGGGCAAGCGUUGUUCGGAAUUACUGGGCGUAAAGAGUACGUAGGCGGAUCGUUAAGUUAGAGGUGAAAUCCCAGGGCUCAACCCUGGAACUGCCUUUAAUACUGGCGAUCUAGAGAUCGAGAGAGGUGAGUGGAAUUUCCAGUGUAGAGGUGAAAUUCGUAGAUAUUGGAAAGAACACCAGUGGCGAAGGCGGCUCACUGGCUCGAUACUGACGCUGAGGUACGAAAGCGUGCGGAGCAAACAGGAUUAGAAACCCCUGUAGUCC